GGCUGACUGUGUAGGGCGAGAGUGGGUGGGGGAAGCAGGAUCCAUGUUCUCAAUAGGACGAUUGAGAUCGACAGCUAUAAUUCUUCCAUCAGAGUCCAGUGCUCAAAACUACACUUCCAACACACCUAAGAUGACUGGCCUCCAUUAAUGCAAAUGCUGCUACAAGCAGACUGAUGCAAGUAGCGAGGAUGGCGCCCAACCCGCAAGCUUGACAAAGAGCAAUUCGUUAAGUACAGAGGAACUGUAUGGCCACAAUUUGACAAGGACUGAGGAUUCUGCAGCACUGAGGUAUGGAUGACACUGUCUCUGGUCCUUAGGGAGUCUCUAUGAUAUUCUGGGGUUUAUGUGUAGUCUGCUGUGCCUUCAGCAGACCACUUUGGUAGCCAGCAGCCACACCGGAUUUUUGUUUUGCAGGUGAUAUUUGUUAAGUACAGUACUCUAUCCUGCCUAGGCCUGAACUGCAAGGUAUGAAAAAGAAAGUUUUAUUGUUUUUUGAAUGUGUCUUUAUAUAUUUUAUCUUAUGUACCUUUGGCUAUGAAGUGUUUAUAAAUAUGCAAAAUGAAAUAAAUAAUAUGAAAUGG